GAGGGUGUAGCUUAGUUGGUUAAAGUAUUGACCUGUCACGUCAAAGAUCGCGGGUUCGAGCCCCGUCUCUCUCG
rnacentral:tRNA from 1 species